rnacentral:lncRNA from 1 species
CCCCAAAUUUUGGUCUAAUUCACCCCAAACUUCAGGCCUUGUUGACCCCCAACUUCAGGCCUCCAUGACCCCAAAUUUUGGCCUUGUUGGUGUCAACCUUUGGGCUUCGUUGACCUCAACUACUGGACCCCAACUUUUACCCCUCAUGCUCCCCGAUUUUUACCCUCGUUCUCCCCAACUUUUACCCUCAUUCUCCCUGAUUUUUACCCUCAUUCUCCCCAACUUUUACCCCUCGUUCUCCCUAACUUUUACCCUCAUUCUCCCCAACUUUUACCCUCGUUCUCCCCGACUUUUGCCUUCAUUCUCCCCAACUUUUACCCUCGUUCUCCCCGCUUUUUGCCCUCAUCCUCCCCAACCCUCCCCAACCUCCCCAACUUCUUCUACCCUCGCCAUCCCCUCUUCUCACCCACCAAAAACCCCAAAUCCCUUUUCCUUCCUUCCUCCCUCAGAAGCGACGCUCGAACCGCCAAGUCAAACGCAAGAAAUACACCGAGGAUUUAGACAUCAAGAUCACUGA